GCUCAUCACAUCCUGGGGCUGAAGUAGGUCCCAAGGGUAUGGCUGUUCGCCAUUUAAAGUGGUACGCGAGCUGGGUUUAGAACGUCGUGAGACAGUUCGGUCCCUAUCUGCCGUGGGCGCUGGAGAAUUGAGGGGGGCUGCUCCUAGUACGAGAGGACCGGAGUGGACGCAUCACUGGUGUUCGGGUUGUCAUGCCAAUGGCAUUGCCCGGUAGCUAAAUGCGGAAGAGAUAAGUGCUGAAAGCAUCUAAGCACGAAACUUGCCCCGAGAUGAGUUCUCCCUGAGACUUUAAGUCUCCUGAAGGAACGUUAAAGACGAUGACGUUGAUAGGUCGGGUGUGUAAGCGUAGCGAUACGUUGAGCUAACCGAUACUAAUGAACCGUGAGGCUUAACCUUACAACGCCGAAG
rnacentral:rRNA from 1 species